ACAGUGAUGUGGGAGAGAGGGGAUGUGACCUACGGCGACGCAGAUGGGAUCGCUUCCGCCAUGUUGGAUGGAGCUCAUGUAGCAUUAGUAGUAGUGUAGCGUUGAUGCCUGUAAAAGUUCAAUUUUUUAAAGUUUUGAGUGAGUUUAGGGUUAUUUAUUGAUAAUAAUAGUACCAUGGCUUCGUGUGCUUUUCUUCUGUGUACAAAUAACAAACGAAAGAACCAGAAAAACUCCAGGGGAUAACAUUUCAUAGGUUAGUAUGCACCUACAAACAGUGUACAGAGCCGUAUUACUUCAAUUGUAGUAAUGCUGCCUGUAAAAAUAAUAGGUAAUUUUUUAACUGGGUUUAUAUUAUGGUUGUAGUUUUCCCAAACAUGUUGAAAGGAGAAAGGCUUGGGUACAGUUUGUACACAGAGAGAAUUGGGAACCAGCCACCAGUAGCAAAUUGUGUACGAAACAUUUUGCCGAGAGGGAUGUAGAUCGGACUUCAUUAGUUUGUAUUCGUUUGCGAGAAAACGCAGUCCCUACAAUUGGUGAAUCUCAGUUUUUGGAAAAAAUCAAUAUUUCCUCCCUUCGGGAGCCUCCAGCCUCAUACAUCACUGGUGGUGCUACUUCAAGGCAAAAAGGAACAGGAUGCAUCCAACAGAGAGCAGCACCCAACAUCUCUAGUUGCAGCGACCUGAGGCCACAACAUCUGCCCAGGUCUACAAGUCUACAGCAGUACCAUUCAACAUCAAGGAGUUACCAUCGAACCAAUACCAACAGCUAUAAGUAUAAUCUAAAAAUUGUUAGUUUUUGGCAAGGAUUUGAAUAUAUUAUGUUAUUGAAUUUAAUAAGUCAUUAUUUUAAUUAUAUCUUUAUUGAAUAAUAAACAUGAUUAGUUAAAAUA